rnacentral:lncRNA from 1 species
AGCCAUCUUGUAUACAUCACUUCUAUGAAAGAUCAUACUUCAACUUGAUAGGCAAAGGUUCAAUUACUUUGCAUCAUAUAAACCAAUCUUACAAGCCGAUUGGUGCACGAUAAAACACACAUGAAAAUGUUAUACAAUCACAAUUAGUUAGAAAAUAUCAUAGGUUUAUUUGCUUACAUAUCGUAAUCGUCCCCAUUUGAAAUAGAAGCAGCACUGUGAAAAGGAACUUUUUCAUGCCCAUUGCUAGAGCUAAAGGAAGACGUGCUUGCUCUCAUACUUUGGGUCAAGGAUGGCAGCCUGUCAAUAGGCAUUUGACAAGAAUCUGAAAGACUAAAACCAAGGAUGCUCUACUCGUUCCUUUCUGCUCCUCAAUUAUAUAAGGACUACAGAAAUGUUGAUUUCUAGGUAGGGAUUGCACCACUCAAGCCUAACCAUAAUAUUUACCCAAAUCAACAACAGUAAAACGAGAACAACGAGAAAAAGAAUUAAAAGAUUAAAAAAAUAAGAACGAAGAUCAACUCAAAAGAAGUGCAUAUCAAUGGGGGGUGAUAAUAGGGAUAAUCUGCAAAUUCCUACUGCACUAGUUGUACUGCUUAAACAGGAUAAAUAAUCCUUGGAUUGAUCACGCAAAUUUGCUAAGAGAUUGAAAAAAAAGAAAGAUAGAUAACAAAAAUCAGAAUCAUCGAAGAGAUAAAAAUGAGUAGACUAGAGAGAAUAUAAAAGAGGGUACCUGGCAAUGGUACUGCAUUGCAACCCAAGGGGGAGGGAAAGGGGAAGAGGAAAUGGGAGAAGGUUUAGCAGAGUAUUGGGAUGUGAAGGGAAAAUCAAUUGGAAAAUGUCUUACUGAAAAAAAAAAGUGUAAGACAUUUUCCCAAAAAAAGGCAUCAUUUUCCCGUGUUUUGGAAUAGCUUUUAUGGUAGAAAUUUAUUUUCCUCCAAAC